UACAGAGGUCUCAAGCGUUGUUCGGAUUCAUUGGGCGUAAAGGGUGCGUAGGUGGCGCUGUAAGUCAGGUGUGAAAUUUCGGAGCUCAACUUCGAAACUGCAUUUGAUACUGCGGUGCUUGAGGACUGGAGAGGAGACUGGAAUUUACGGUGUAGCAGUGAAAUGCGUAGAGAUCGUAAGGAAGACCAGUGGCGAAGGCGGUUCUCUGGGCCUUACCUGACGCUGAGGAGCGAAAGCGUGGGGAGCGAACAGG
rnacentral:rRNA from 1 species